rnacentral:rRNA from 1 species
AGUGAACGCUGGCGGUAGGCCUAACACAUGCAAGUCGAACGGCAGCACAGUAAGAGCUUGCUCUUACGGGUGGCGAGUGGCGGACGGGUGAGGAAUACAUCGGAAUCUACUUUUUCGUGGGGGAUAACGUAGGGAAACUUACGCUAAUACCGCAUACGACCUACGGGUGAAAGCAGGGGAUCUUCGGACCUUGCGCGAUUGAAUGAGCCGAUGUCGGAUUAGCUAGUUGGCGGGGUAAAGGCCCACCAAGGCGACGAUCCGUAGCUGGUCUGAGAGGAUGAUCAGCCACACUGGAACUGAGACACGGUCCAGGCUCCUACGGGAGGCAGCAGUGGGCAAUAUUGGACAAUGGGCGCAAGCCUGAUCCAGCCAUCCCGCGUGGGUGAAGAAGGCCUUCGGGUUGUAAAGCCCUUUUGUUGGGAAAGAAAAGCAGCAGGUUAAUACCCCGCUGUUCUGACGGUACCCAAAGAAUAAGCACCGGCUAACUUCGUG